rnacentral:misc_RNA from 1 species
AAGUCGUAACAAGGUAACCGUAGGUGAACCUGCGGUUGGAUCAUUACUGAAUAUAUGAAUUGUGGUUUUUUUUUUUUUAAUCGAAAAACCUAACAAAAAAAAUUCAUAACACUCCACUUGUGAACUGUUUACCGUACCUUGUUUGGCAGCCCACCUAUUUUUUGUCGACUGUUAUGGUUAGGCAGAUGAAAAGGGUUAAUUAAGUAAGAGGAAGGGGCCUUGUUUGCCUCUUUCGCCGACUUUGUUGAUCUGGGGCUGUCAGACGCCUAUAUAAACAAACUCGUUUUUCUUAAUAUUAAUGCAGUCUCUUUCUAAUUAUUUUAUAAUUGAAAAAAAACAACUUUUGACAACGGAUCUCUUGGCUCUC